rnacentral:rRNA from 1 species
GACGAACGCUGGCGGCGUGCCUAAUACAUGCAAGUAGGACGCAGUCGCGAACGGGUGAGUAACGUGUAGGUACCUGCCUAUUAGAGGGGGCUUACUAUUGGAAACGAUAGCUAAUACCGCCUACUAGUAGAUGGACCUGCGUUGUAUUAGCUAGUAGGUCGGGUAAUGGCCUACCUAGGCAACGAUACAGAGACGAAGUGAGAGUGUGAUCGUCGACACUGGGACUGAGAAAGGGCCCAGACUCAAACGGGAGGCAGCGGUAGGGAAGCGUAGGAAAUGGGAGGAAGCGUUACCGAGCAACGCCGAGUUAGUGAGAAAGGUGUUCGGAUCGUAAAGCUCUGUUGUUAAUGAAGCGGUACUUAACCAGAAAGGGACGGCUAACUACGUGCCAGCCGCCGCGGUAAUUC